CACUUCGAUCACUCCAUUAACCAUUUCCUCGAGAAAAGUAGUGGAUAGGGGGCGCUGAAUUAUUCGAGUUAGUACAUGGAGGAAAGGUCUGUUUCAAAUGUUAUUCAAAGAUUAGGAGCGACGAUUCAAUGUCCGUUUGUGUAUUGUAUUUGUCGUGGUUGAAACGGCACCAGGAACAUAUCAGGAUAGACAACAGAAGUCUGUAAGUAUCUAUUUUAUGUAUUUAUAUAUUAACAUAGAUAUUAUAAGCCUUUCAUGCCUUCUGUUGACAAAUUUUCAUAACUAUGCACUGUUUUAGUAGACCACAGAUGUCCUUUUCGAACUAAAAGAACCUCCCUUUGAAAAAACACACCUCAGUCGAAUCUUUCUUCUCAAAUGAAUGCCUGAAUGGUCAUCAAAUUAAUACUUGUUAUGGGCAGGCAUUUUCGAAUAAUUUUUAAAAAAAAAAUGUAUUAAUUCUGACUGCAAGGAAUUUUAAAUGGUAAAUAAUAUACAUUGUAUCUCGAGGGAAAUGUACACACUUUAAACAACAGUAAAUUUUUCAUAAAUAUUAUAUAAAAUAGUAAAAGUGUAGCAUAUAUAUCAUAUCAUGUGUAUUAACGAUUAAACUCUGGAAGAAAUAUAGUCCAGCAUGAAUACAAAUUAAAGGGUCCUUUUCAGGAAAAAAAUUUUUCUCUUUCUUCAGAGGUUUAUAUGAAACGUUAUAUGAUGUCUGUUGUGCAGUGAUUUGGUUUUUUUCGCCUGUAUGCGAGACAUGGCAUGGUAGGUAUUGCAACCAAGCAACGGCGGCGACGAUGGUGUACACUAUUUGUUUGAAGCAUUAUAUUUUAUAAGUUAGACAAUCUAAAUGCUUCAUACCUUAUGUUACGAAAUUUCCGUCUGUCAUAUGUCAUUGUCCCGGCAACCUCAUUUUCAUGGUUCAGUAACUGCUUGAUACAUUUUGUUUUGUUAAAUGAAAAAACUCACUUAUUAUGAGUAAUAUGAUAACUUUGUUUGGUAUAUGGGUUCCUAGCAACAUUUACAUGUUCGUCAGCUAGGUACAUGUAGGGUUAACCUGACCUCGACCUUAUUCCAUGGAUCAGUUAUCAAAAAUAAAGUAACUUAAGCAAGACCGUAUCUAGAUACUAUAACUAGUAAGUCAUCUAUAUUUGGUGUAUGGAUUAUUGAAAUGAUUGUAAGGUGUACAUAUCCACCCGACAGGUUCCGUCUGACCUUGGCCUCAAUUUCAUGGUUCAUUGGCCAAUGUAUAUAGUGUUUUUGUGGUUUGGUCUAUUUCUCAGAUACUUUAAGCAGUAGGACCACUAUAUAGGGUGUAUCAUGUAUGGAAUCAUUGUCAGCUGGAAAUGUCCGUCUGACAGGUCUCAAUUGACUUCGACUUCAUUUUUAUGGUUCAUUGGACAAUUUUUAGUUGUGUCAUACAUUGUAGUUGUGCAUUGAUAAAGUUAAGUAUACCUGAUAAUUGUACUAAAGACUUUCAAUAUGAUUUCAAUGAUAAGUAAGACAAAGGCGAGACAUUUGCACUCAUAUUUUGGUAAUAAAAUGUGUAAAGUGUUGACUAAAGUACAUGUACCUAAAUUUCAAUAUAUUUUUGUAUCAGAGUGCUGAACGCGCAUCUUUAACGUUUUGAGAGGAAAAUGAAUAUUUUGUUGAAGGGAGAAUGUGUUGGGUACAUUACUCACAUUUUUUUACCUGAGGAAGCUGCUGUUCCUUUUGGAACAUGUCUUACUUGUUUUCUGGUAUGUUAAAUGGGAUAGGUAAAAGUAUUGUUAAACACCAGUCCUGUGUUUUGUUUAAGACUUAAUGAAACCUGAUUUUAAUUGUUAUUUGUGUAUUCAGUUCGCUGUCUCCUAGGCAUGAACCACUCAUCUGUUUUAAGACUCUAUGAUUGAUUGAUUGAUUGAUUGAUCAUGACUGGCUGAAUGUCCAAUGGCAAAUAUUACAUGCAUAUUCAGGAAGUUGGGAAUGAUACAUGCCAAUCCUGAUAAAAAUAAAGAAAUAUGCCUGAAGAAAAAACAAUAACAGAGUAAGUGUUCCUGCAUUUUAAACUUCAAAUAUUUCUUGUAGAGUGAGAAAACUGUUAUGAAACACCAGCAAAAAAGACUAGAUUGUUAUUCAGUCCUGACUUAUUCAGUGUCUCUGAAUAUGAAGAUUAG
rnacentral:lncRNA from 1 species